rnacentral:misc_RNA from 1 species
GAUAGACUGGCAUUUUCAGAGGUAAUGAGUUAUAAUGCUUCUGUAAACUUUGAGCCAUGUUGCAUUAAGCAAGAUGGUUAUGUGUUGCUUCAUUUAUUAUUAAGCAUUCUAGCAUCAUUCAAAUGAUAUAAGAUUUUCUCCAAAUAAAUUUUCUAAUACACAAUUGUUUAUUUUGGAUGUUUAAUUGAAUAACUGAACUGUCUUCCCUGUUCUGCUUUGACAAGAAAUCUGUUAGAACAAUUCGCUGCUGCAAAUAAAAAUUCUGGUAAUUCAGAAAUGUUGAACAAAACUAUCAUAAAACAGGUAAAGAUGAGAUUAAUUAGAGAGAAGUUUAGUCACCUGCUGUAUGAAGCACAAAAUGGUGAUCUCCGUAGAUCUACUGAAUCCUAGAACAUCUGAAUUAGUAUCACCCAAAUCUCAAAUAGGUCCAAAUAAUAAAUUAUAGUACCCACCCUAUGUCUUUUGAUUUUCUGUUUGUAGGCUUCAACGAGGACUAUUAGUAAACUGUUACUGUUGUCCUAAUAGUUCCUAAAAUGUGUCAAUAUACUUGUACCACAGUAAUCAAUUUGAAUUAAUUUAUAACAGCAAAUGAAUUGAUAGUUUGUACACCAUUCAGUUUAUUCAUAUGAAGAAUAAUUUAAGAUUGACUGUAAUAUUUAGCUUUAAAAGCUACCAAUAAUAGCUUCAGACAUGAUGUUAAUUAAUAUUAAAUUUUAUGUCCAUAAAAUAUCUAACAAUCUUCCUUGUGAUUUUUAUUUUUGAACAAUAUCUUCCGUAUAGUUUAAAAUUGAAUCAUAGUAGAUAAUAAAGUGAGCAUAAUAAUAUAAUAUAGUACAUCUUAAUGGGUGUUCUUGUACCUAUAUGUUACUGUCCUGAGUCUAGGACCUAGUUUGGGGGCGAUGAACAGGAAAAUCCAAUUGAGAUUCAAUCUGAAGGUUGUGUUAGACUUCCUGCUUUGUCUAACUAUUUUGAAAAGGUGGACUUAAGAGCUCUUUUGAGAGAACUCUACAAUCUCAUAAUUGGAAUAAGCUGUUUUGGAUAAAUUCAUGCUUGCCAUUUUCCAUUCCUUUUCUGAACUUUACACAGCAGUUGAGUACAAGCAAUGCAAAAUAGCUACCCCUACUGCUUACAAGCCAUAAACAAAUGAGAAACUAAUAACAACGAACCUCACUGCUGCCAUAACUGUUGAUUCUUUAGUUUGACCAUGAGAGAAACAUUUGUACUGUUGCCAAAUAGAAUCACUCUUUGUGACCUCAAAUGACUAGCUUCUUGGUGGUCCUUCACACAAUAGUCGAUAUGUGUGAGUUUGCAUGUGGAGAGGCCAUGGUGAUUUUUAUAUCUUGAACCUUGCCCUUGUAGGGCCUAAUCUUGGCAUAAGAUAUUAUGGCAAGAACUCAGAUUCUAUUUAGUGUUGUGCUUUAGAGUCAUGUGCACAUAUCUUGUUUCAUGAGUCUCUAAAGGGAGUAGCAUAAAUACCUAGAGUGGUGGCCUCACUAGUGUACUUGUUAGUAGCUUCCACAUGAAUGAACUUCCAUGGUGCAUUGGCUCCGCUAAGAGUCUUUCUUUCUACUACUCAUAGUUAAGAAAACAUUGUCGUACGAAUGGAUCCUAUUGUCCAUUUUAGAGCUGCGGUAAUCUCACUUUCAGGAAAGUCUUUAGCUUUGAUGAAUUUUUCGGUAUUUUAGUUUUUGGCUUUUAUUUUGAACCUUGCCAUUUUGACAUGAUGGGAAUGUUAUCUAACAUCGGAAAAAUACAAGAUUGAAAGGGUGAAUAUAAGUAGUUGGGUUGUAACAUUAAAACAGCCAAUUAUUUUGAUGUCUAAAGUAACUCAAUUACUUAUAUAAACAUGCUUUCAAAUGAAUUAAUACUUAUUUUGCCCAGCACUCUCUUCAAAUUUAACGAAAGGAAAACAAGAGAGCAUGUCCAUAAUAUGCUAUUUAUGUAUUAAGAGUUUACUUUUUUUUUUUUCUUCCCAUUACAUUCAAUUGAGUUAUGAAACAGACUUUUUUUUUUUUUGGCAUUUGCAGGUUUUAACAAGUGAUAUUGUGUUCUCUGCUCCUAUGACCGAAACAUAUAAACUCCUUGGCGUGGACACAAAAGAUAUAGUAACACUGGAGAAAUAUUUGCAGGAUUACUUCACUAAUAUACUGAAGAAAUUGAAAGAUCUCAAAGCUCAAUCAAAGCAAACAGACUUUUACAUCUAAAACAAUCCAUCAUGUAAUUGUAAAAGAAACAUACUACUUAUGGCAUCACAAUUUUCUCACUUAAAAUCUCACAGCAUUCAUUUUUUUUUUCACUUUACUCCUUGCAUUUGUUUCAUAAGAAAAGUAUCAAGAAAUUAAUUUUUGAUGUAGCAGUUAACUGUGAUACAAGAAAUAAUCAAACCUUUAACUCAAUUGUGUAAGCCUUUCCCGACUGGAAGAAGACCCUUCAAAAAUUGGCCAAUGCCGUUGUAGGCGGCAAGCAUACGGUAUUCUUUAGUAAAAGGUGAAAAGAUA